rnacentral:rRNA from 1 species
UGAGGAAUAUUGGUCAAUGGACGCAAGUCUGAACCAGCCAAGUAGCGUGCAGGAUGACGGCCCUAUGGGUUGUAAACUGCUUUUAUAUGGGGAUAAAGUGGGGAACGUGUUCCCUUUUGCAGGUACCAUAUGAAUAAGGACCGGCUAAUUCCGUGCCAGCAGCCGCGGUAAUACGGAAGGUUCGGGCGUUAUCCGGGUUUAUUGGGUUUAAAGGGAGCGUAGGCCGUUUGGUAAGCGUGUUGUGAAAUGUAGGAGCUCAACUUCUAGAUUGCAGCGCGAACUGUCAGACUUGAGUGCGCACAACGUAGGCGGAAUUCAUGGUGUAGCGGUGAAAUGCUUAGAUAUCAUGAAGAACUCCGAUUGCGAAGGCAGCUUACGGGAGCGCAACUGACGCUGAAGCUCGAAGGUGCGGGUAUCGAACAGG